UACGUAGGGUGCAAGCGUUGUCCGGAAUUAUUGGGCGUAAAGAGCUCGUAGGCGGUCUGUCGCGUCUGCUGUGAAAACUCGGGGCUUAACCCCGGGCCUGCAGUGGGUACGGGCAGACUAGAGUGCGGUAGGGGAGACUGGAAUUCCUGGUGUAGCGGUGAAAUGCGCAGAUAUCAGGAGGAACACCGAUGGCGAAGGCAGAUCUCUGGGCCGUAACUGACGCUGAGGAGCGAAAGCAUGGGGAGCGAACAGG
rnacentral:rRNA from 1 species